UGGCAUUGGUCUAAUGGCCCUGUCGCCAUCACCCAGAGGCCUGCCGAGGGCCUCUAACAUGACUGCGUUUAGGGCUCAAGUCUCCGCAUGCGCGUUGGUGGGGAUGAACUGUGGUGCCACAUGACAAAGAUGUGGCUUUCUCUGGCAUGCUGUGGAGUGUCAAAGCGGUUUUACGAAAGGGCAUAGGAGCAUGGGCUUCGAUGUAGCUGCUGAGGCACGCAUCCCUGAGGUCUAAGGCUGCCGUGAGCAGAGGCUGCCAGCGCCGUGCGGGAUAUGCAGUGUUAGC